rfam:Microgenomates (Gottesmanbacteria) bacterium GW2011_GWB1_43_11 TV61_C0008, whole genome shotgun sequence.
GCCGGGGUGGUGGAAUGGCAGACACGCAGGUCUCAAAAACCUGUGAGUAUAACAACUCAUGAGAGUUCGACUCUCUCCCUCGGCA